ensembl:lncRNA
GCUCUCCCUCAGUGCCCAGGUGAGCGGUGACACCAAUUCUGCACAGCCCUCAGAUAUGCCAUGUCCUCAGGUAACAUAGUCUCCAGUCUUCAUUAUGCCCACAUCCUUCUGUCUCUCUUUCUCUUCCAUUUCCCCACCACCACUUACUUGUUCCUCCUAGUAUGUCCACUGUCUCUGAGUGGUCUUGGGAGUCCCGUGCCCCACCCAAGUGGCUUAUUGCAAGGGUCAUCUGUCUCAGGCUUACUUCUGCCCAGGCCUGUAGUCCCAGGCAGGGUUCCUUUAGUCUCUGGCUUGUUCCUUGUCUUGGGAGCCCAUUCAGGCCCCUCGCACCAGAUUGGUGGUUGUUUCAAGCUCACAUUUUUCAGGGAAUGUUAGGCUACACCGAGUGUAGACGCCCAGCCCCUCUUCUCUCUGCCACCUACUGACGCACGUGUGACAUAGCAGCCUCACUGGGACAGGUCAUAUCUGACUUUUUUUUGUGAACGCUGGGGAUCAAACCCAGGUCUUCAUGCUUAUGUCACAAGCACUUUAACUGCUUGACAUGUUUCCUCAAUUUUACAUUCAUGUCUUUUUUCCCCUUUAUUUCAUGUGUAUGGGUAUUUUGCCUGAAUGUUUGGCUUGUACCACAUAUGUGCAGCAACUGCUGAAGCCAGAAACAGGCAGUGGUGAGUGGAUCCUCUGGAACUUGAGCUAGAGACGGUCAUGAGCCUUCAUGUGGGGUUGGGGAUUAAACCCAGAUUCUCUGGAAGAGCAGCCAGUGCUCUUUAGUGCUGAGCCAUUUCUCUGUCCCUUGCAUCACAUUUUUAAAAAUUAAGCAUUUAAACUUGGAUAGCAUAAGCGGUCGAUAUUAAAAUAUUGUAUGGUCUUUUCAAUAAAACUUUAGAAUGAGGUUUAGACCUAUAAAAUAGAGCUGCCCUUUAGGAUUUAUGACUUAAUUUUCCUCAAGAUAAGACUUUCCCACCAUCUCUGUUAGAACCAGGGAUACAUUUUAUACAUUGCUCACCAUUGUAUUGGUGUGUGUGUGUUCACUUGUGUGCUCUCGUUGGAGCCAGAAGCUUAUGUUGGAUCCUUUCCUCUAUUGUUCUCCAUGUGGUAUUUCAUCAGGUUCUUGUUGAAACUUAAGCUGAGUGUUUAAGCUGGAUUGUCUGUCCAUCCAGCCCCUGCAUCUGUGUGUGUCCUUCUUCCCAGUGCUGGGCUACAGGUUUGUGUCAGCAUGCCCAGCCUCUGGAGAUGCUGGGGAGACGUGGACCCUUAUGCGUAUGCAGCAAGCGUUGAACACAUGGAACAGACUGUUGAUUUAGCUGCUCUGUGUUGUGUCUGUAGUGUACACAGUGGGUAGCUGCUCUGUGUUGUGUCUGUAGUGUAUACAGUGGGUAACUGCUGUGUGUUGUGUAUGUAGUGUACACAGUGGGAAGCUGCUCUGUGUUGUGUCUGUAGUGUAUACAGUGGUUAGCUGCUCUGUGUUGUGUAUGUAGUGUAUACAGUGGGUAGCUGCUCUGUGUUGUGUAUGCAGUGUACACAGUGGGAAGCUGCUCUGUGUUGUGUCUGUAGUGUAUACAGUGGUUAGCUGCUCUGUGUUGUGUAUGCAGUGUAUACAGUGGGGUAGCUGCUCUGUGUUGUGUAUGCAGUGUACACAUGGGGUAGCUGCUCUGUGUUGUGUAUGCAGUGUAUACAGUGGGGUAGCUGCUCUGUGUUGUGUAUGUAGUGUAUACAGUGGGUAGCCACUCUGUGUUGUGUAUGCAGUGUAUACAGUGGGUAGCUGCUCUGUGUUGUGUAUGUAGUGUAUACAGUGGGUAGCCACUCUGUGUUGUGUAUGCAGUGUAUACAGUGGGUAGCUGCUCUGUGUUGUAUAUGUAGUGUAUACAGUGGGGUAAUAGAGGACAUUCCACCAAAUCAGUUUUCAGAUAAUAUUUAAAUGGCUUGCUUUUCAGGAACAAAUAAUUUUCUAGUCAUUUCCUCUUUUUUCUGUUAAAAUACUUUUCGCUCUUUGGGUCAGCAUCGUAAGCCAUUGCCCGAAUCCCUUUUCAUAUCGCUGUUUCCUAAACGGGCUGUCUUCCAUGGUUCUCCACCUGAGAGUUGCAGCCCUUUCAUAGGGGUUGCCCAAGAUCAUUAUGAUUCACAACAGUAGCAAGAUUAGUUAUGAAAUAGCACAAAAGUAGUUUUAUGGUUGCGGGGGGGGGGGGUUGGCCAGCACGAGGCACCGUAUUAAAGGGUUGCAGCAUUAGAAGGCUGAAAACCCCUGGUUUCUUCCCCUGUCUAAUCUGCGCUGCACAGUGGCUACAUUUUUCAUGCCUGUCUACCUCCACCCCUGCCUUUAAUGACAAAUUCUGAAUCUGCAUUGCAGACUUGAUAUUUCUCUAAAUAGUUGUCAUUGAUUCAGCAAGUACUUUCUGAAUACCUACUACUACUAAUGCUCAUCAUGUAGCAUAAAGUCAUGCCUGUCCUUGUCUCAGAAGUCUAUGAUUUGGUAGAGAUGGAAGUCUAGUGAGUAUACUACGAUAAUGUGCCAUUUCACUAGGCUCAGGAUAACUAGGUGUUGGAGGAGGGCCUCUUCUGCU